GCUGGGUGUGGUGGUGUGUGCCUGUAAUCCCAGCUACUGGGGAGGCUGAGGCACGAGAAUCACUUAAACCCAGGAGGUGGAGGUUGCAGUGAGUGGAGAUCGCGCCACUGCACUCCAGCCUGGCGACAGAGCAAGACUCUGGAUUUUCUUUUUUUUUUUUUGAGACGGAGUCUCGCUCUGUCGCCCAGGCUGGAGUGCAGUGGCACGAUCUCCGCUCACUGCAAGCUCUGCCUCCUGGGUUCACGCCAUUCUCCUGCCUCAG
rnacentral:SRP_RNA from 2 species